rnacentral:rRNA from 1 species
GACGAACGCUGGCGGCGUGCUUAACACAUGCAAGUCGAACGGAAAGGCCCUGCUUGCGGGGUACUCGAGUGGCGAGCGGGUGAGUAACACGUGGGUGGUCUGCCCUGCACUUCGGGAUAAGCCUGGGAAACUGGGUCUAAUACCGGAUAGGAGCCAUUUUUAGUGGGAUGGUUGGAAAGUUUUUUCGGUGUAGGAUGAGCUCGCGGCCUAUCAGCUUGUUGGUGGGGUAAUGGCCUACCAAGGCGGCGACGGGUAGCCGGCCUGAGAGGGUGGACGGCCACAUUGGGACUGAGAGACGGCCCAGACUCCUACGGGAGGCAGCAGGGGGGAAUCUUGAACAAUGGGCGCAAGCCUGAUGCAGAGACGCCGCGUGGGGGAUGACGGCCUUCGGGUUGAAAACUAAUUUCGCUAGGGACGAAGCAUUUUGUGACGGUACCUAGAUAAGAAGCACCGGCUAACUACGUG